GCGCCGGAAGUUAAAGUGGAAUGGUAACGCUUGGCUACGAACCAAGAGCCUGCGAGUUCGAAUCUCGCUCGGUGCUCCA
rnacentral:tRNA from 1 species